GACGAAGGGGGCUAGCGUUGUUCGGAAUUACUGGGCGUAAAGGGCGCGUAGGCGGCUUUUCAAGUCGGGCGUGAAAUCUCCGGGCUUAACCUGGAAGGGUCGUUCGAUACUGUCGAGCUAGAGUGUGGAAGAGGCUACUGGAAUUCCGUGUGUAGCGGUGAAAUGCGCAGAUAUCGGGAGGAACACCUAUGGCGAAGGCAGCUCGCUGGGACGUUACUGACGCUGAGACGCGAAAGCGUGGGGAGCAAACAGG
rnacentral:rRNA from 1 species